UCUGCCUCCUCCUCGACCCUGGUAUGUGCCCAAGCCUCCCACGCCGCCGCCACCGCACGUCAUCCCGCUCGCCGCCACCGCACGUCAGCUCGCUCACUGCCCACGCCCGCCGCGGCCGCACCUCAGCCCGCUCGCCCCCCAUGCCGGCGCGGCCGCUCGCCAUUCCCCGCCGCAACCCAGCCACCUCUGUCGCUGCUGCUAGCCGAUGCGCCACAAUAUAACUUUUUGCGAUGCACUCCUACCUGUAGCCCAUCUCAAACCAUCGAAACAGUCCAAGGAUAUUGCAACAGCUGCCGGCUGCGAUAAAACCAAGCCACUUCUCGGGAGGCAAACACAAGAGCACUCACCCAGCAAGACCUGGAAGCCAUGCAUGGCCUUCCUCCAAGCUUAGCUGCCUCCCGAAGCUCAACAUGUCAUGCUGCUUCAACAAAUCGUCCCAGCCUCCGUUCAAAGUUCACUUUGCUACUGCUAAUGGGAAGCAUUCAGCCCUCCUGCACUCGCAUGGUGUUGUUUGCGCUCGACGCGUGCAUCGUCAACGACACCGGAGGAGUCUGCAGCGCCGGCCCUGCGGGCGCCGGCUCUCCGAAGCACUGUCCCAUCGAGUGGCGCUAUCUUCCGUGGGUGCAUGCCAUGCCGCAAGGUGGACCACGCCGUGUGCAUCGCAUGGCGGAGAAGCGCAUUGCAGCUAAUCUACGGCGCCACGAGGAGCUAUUGGCUGCUGUAGCAGUGUCACGCUAGAGCAAGAGGUUGGACACUAAUGAUUCUGAGAGGACAUGCACAAGCUCGCUGACGGCAAUGCAGCAAAGUGGUGUUUGUCAUACGAAGGCUCCAUCCUGCAGUAGGGGUGCUCCGAAUGACAAAGGCAACAAGCUAUAUGGGCAUGUGUGCAGUUAAAGAGUAGAGGCGUAGGAUUAUAGCUAAACAAGUAUUCCCUCUUAUAUUUCAGUUUUUUUCAAACAUAUGUUGAGAUCUAUUGCUCAAUGAGAAAGGUAGAACCAGUGUAAGAUUUUGAGCUGCAAUAUUAGAAAGGUGAAAUUUCAUUUAGUCCUAAAAAAAUAUUGACUGUUCUUUCACAGGACAAUCUACCCGCAAAUGCAUCAACAUUCAUAUGAGGAACAAAUGCACUGGCAUAUCAUGUGCAGGGGAAGACAUGCGGUAUUAUGGCAGUUCUUUUUAUUUGUUUCUUUCAAUGUUGGAUAAUGUCUACACCACUUAUUCAUAAUUGGUACAGGUAAC